GCGGCGUGCUAUAAUGCAGUCGAGCGAAUGGAUUGAGAGCUUGCUCUCAAGAAGUUAGCGGCGGACGGGUGAGUAACACGUGGGUAACCUGCCCAUAAGACUGGGAUAACUCCGGGAAACCGGGGCUAAUACCGGAUAAUAUUUUGAACUGCAUGGUUCGAAAUUGAAAGGCGGCUUCGGCUGUCACUUAUGGAUGGACCCGCGUCGCAUUAGCUAGUUGGUGAGGUAACGGCUCACCAAGGCAACGAUGCGUAGCCGACCUGAGAGGGUGAUCGGCCACACUGGGACUGAGACACGGCCCAAACUCCUACGGGAGGCAGCAGUAGGGAAUCUUCCGCAAUGGACGAAAGUCUGACGGAGCAACGCCGCGUGAGUGAUGAAGGCUUUCGGGUCGUAAAACUCUGUUGUUAGGGAACAACAAGUGCUAGUUGAAC
rnacentral:rRNA from 1 species